CGUGCGGUGGGCUAAUAUACAUCGGGACACACGGCACGAGAUACGGAAAACGCAACGUAACGGAAACCGAACGUAACGCGACGCGACGCGACGCAACGCGACCGGAAGUUAUCUCCGGCACUUCCUUGUUCUCUCAUUCGCUUUUGUACAUUUUCUUGCGUGACGCGCGUCCUCGAAAUCGUCGUCAUUGUGUUCACCGCGUCGCGAGAAUUUUGCGUCGAUCCGCCUGCCAUCUUCGCCGAGUAACUCCACCGAGUAACUCCAAGUACAGCUUGCCUCUUUACGGAGCUGCCGACGGAAGAUGCCGCCUGCCGAUCAUCUCGGAACGUGAGUGACAAGCUGGAUAUUGGUAGCGUGCCGAUCGGCGAGGAGUUCCCGGGUACCCCACAAAUUUUUCAAUCACGGAGGACACUAACAACAACAUGUCUUACCUCGCUCUGGACUCCAAUGCCUGGCAGGUAAGUGUUAUAUCUGUCAUGCCGACUUUAUAUGUUGGCUUUCACGCUGGAAUGAACAGCGACGUUCGAAUUGCGAUUCUGAGGCUUAGAAAUAACUAUAGAAAUAAAUAACUGUUAAAUCUUUUUUUUUUUUUUUUUUUUUUACGUACAAUCAGCGAAUAGGGAUUAACUGGGGAACGGGAAUUUCUGUCACUUUUGAGUAUUACUCUAUCGGCGCGAUAUCAAAUUACAAAAUUUAUGAAUCUGCAAGUAUCUUCGAUUAACAGAAUUAUUCUGUACGAUAUAUUUUUUAUAUAUGAAAAUGUUUUUCUGUUUAUAAACUAAAUUGUUUCUCCACAUCAGAUAGACACGUGCUUAAUUCACAUAGUCAAGAAACGCUAAACGCUUAAGAUGACAUGAUUCUAAAUUUUGAAGAAAGAAAAAUUCUUCAAUCAU